UUAUCAAUCUUAUUCAAACCUCUUCAAUUUGAUAUUUUUUUGAAAUUCCUAUUAUAUAAUGUCAUUUCUUAUUUCAUAUACAAUUUUUCGGCACACAUUGAUCUUGAACAAAGCAUGUGGAGCAUAGAGGCUUCACGCUAUUGGCUGCAGCUUUUGACAUUUUCCUCUUGAGCUGUCAAAGUGUUGAAGUGUACAAAGACCUAAAUGUUGAAGCGCACAGAGUUUUGAUUGAGCACAUGCGAAAGCACAAACAUUGCUUCCAGCAGUUUGAACUCAAACAAUAUAGACUGUCGUCUGCCGUUGUCGACGUCCACAUGUGUUUCAAAUAUGAUUCCCAAUGACAAUCCUUUCGGAGAUAAUAUUUUGAUGAUUGAUGAUAUGAUUAACAAAUCAGAGAGGAUUUCUACUUGGUGGCACACCGCUUUAACCGGUGAGGGACAACGAUUUGAAAGUACGAAAGAAUUGAGAUUGGCUUUGCUAUACUAUUCCAUGGCAAAAAAAAUCAAGUGCUUGUUUGGAAAGAAUGAACCGAAGCAU